AUUGAACGCUGGCGGCAUGCUUUACACAUGCAAGUCGAACGGUAACAGGCCGCAAGGUGCUGACGAGUGGCGAACGGGUGAGUAAUGCAUCGGAACGUGCCCAGUCGUGGGGGAUAACGCAGCGAAAGCUGUGCUAAUACCGCAUACGAUCUACGGAUGAAAGCGGGGGAUCGCAAGACCUCGCGCGAUUGGAGCGGCCGAUAUCAGAUUAGCUAGUUGGUGGGGUAAAAGCUCACCAAGGCGACGAUCUGUAGCUGGUCUGAGAGGACGACCAGCCACACUGGAACUGAGACACGGUCCAGACUCCUACGGGAGGCAGCAGUGAGGAAUAUUGGUCAAUGGACGAGAGUCUGAACCAGCCAAGUCGCGUGAAGGAAGGCGGCCCUACGGGUUGUAAACUUCUUUUGUAAGGGAAUAAAUAGUCUUACGCGCUAAGACGUUGCAGGUACCUUACGAAUAAGGAUCGGCUAAUUCCGUGCCAGCAGCCG
rnacentral:rRNA from 1 species